GACGAACGCUGGCGGCGUGCUUAACACAUGCAAGUCGAGCGGAAAGGCCCUUCGGGGUACUCGAGCGGCGAACGGGUGAGUAACACGUGAGUAACCUGCCCCAGACUUUGGGAUAACCCUCGGAAACGGGGGCUAAUACCGGAUACGACACAGCUUCGCAUGGGGUCUGUGUGGAAAGUUUUUCGGUUUGGGUUGGGCUCGCGGCCUAUCAGCUUGUUGGUGGGGUGAUGGCAUACCAAGGCGACGACGGGUAGCCGGCCUGAGAGGGGGACCGGCCACACUGGGACUGAGACACGGCCCAGACUCCUACGGGAGGCAGCAGUGGGGAAUAUUGCACAAUGGGCGGAAGCCUGAUGCAGCGACGCCGCGUGCGGGAUGACGGCCUUCGGGUUGUAAACCUCUUUCAGCAGGGACGAAGCGUAAGUGACGGUACCUGCAGAAGAAGCGCCGGCCAACUACGUG
rnacentral:rRNA from 1 species